rnacentral:rRNA from 1 species
AGGCCCUACGGGGCGCAGCAGGCGCGAAAACUUUACAAUGCGGGAAACCGUGAUAAGGGGACACCGAGUGCCAGCAUCAUAUGCUGGCUGUCCAGAUGUGUAAAAUACAUCUGUUAGCAAGGGCCGGGCAAGACCGGUGCCAGCCGCCGCGGUAACACCGGCGGCCCGAGUGGUGAUCGUGAUUAUUGGGUCUAAAGGGUCCGUAGCCGGUUUGGUCAGUCCUCCGGGAAAUCUGAUGGCUCAACCAUUAGGCUUUCGGGGGAUACUGCCAGGCUUGGAACCGGGAGAGGUAAGAGGUACUACAGGGGUAGGAGUGAAAUCUUGUAAUCCCUGUGAGACCACCUGUGGCGAAGGCGUCUUACCAGAACGGGUUCGACGGUGAGGGACGAAAGCUGGGGGCACGAACCGGAUUAGAUACCCGGGUAGUCCCAGCCGUAAACGAUGCUCGCUAGGUGUCAGGCAUGGCGCGACCGUGUCUGGUGCCGCAGGGAAGCCGUGAAGCGAGCCACCUGGGAAGUACGGCCGCAAGGCUGAAACUUAAAGGAAUUGGCGGGGGAGCACAACAACGGGUGGAGCCUGCGGUUUAAUUGGACUCAACGCCGGACAACUCACCGGGGACGACAGCAAUA